CCUACGGGGGGCAGCAGUGGGGAAUAUUGCACAAUGGGCGCAAGCCUGAUGCAGCCAUGCCGCGUGUGUGAAGAAGGCCUUCGGGUUGUAAAGCACUUUCAGCGGGGAGGAAGGCGUUAAGGUUAAUAACCUUGGCGAUUGACGUUACCCGCAGAAGAAGCACCGGCUAACUCCGUGCCAGCAGCCGCGGUAAUACGGAGGGUGCAAGCGUUAAUCGGAAUUACUGGGCGUAAAGCGCACGCAGGCGGUCUGUCAAGUCGGAUGUGAAAUCCCCGGGCUCAACCUGGGAACUGCAUUCGAAACUGGCAGGCUAGAGUCUUGUAGUGGGGGGUAGAAUUCCAGGUGUAGCGGUGAAAUGCGUAGAGAUCUGGAGGAAUACCGGUGGCGAAGGCGGCCCCCUGGACAAAGACUGACGCUCAGGUGCGAAAGCGUGGGGAGCAAACAGGAUUAGAUACCCGUGUAGUC
rnacentral:rRNA from 1 species